GAUUUAUGGCUCAGUGGUAGAGCAUCGGCAAGAUACGCCGACAAUUAAGGGUUCAAAUCCCGACAGAGUCG
rnacentral:tRNA from 1 species